GAAAGCCGUGUGCAAUGAAAAAUGCAAGCACGGUUUGGGGAGGGAUUUUUUUUUUCUUUCUAAUUAAAUUUUAUAAAUAAUUAAUAUUUAUUACUUAG
rnacentral:ncRNA from 1 species